CCUGUCUGUCUUUACAGGACACUGGGUUGCACUCUGAGAAGUUCCUGGAUCUCCCCUGGACCUGACCAUCAUGUGGCCACAGAAAUUGUCGACUCUCUCCUCCGAAGAGAACAGAGCUGGCCCUCGUCUCUCAGCCCAGCUCUCCUGUUUUCUCAGCACCUCAGCGGGACAAGACAGACAGAGCCUGCCAGAACCAAGUCGACCGCCCCUCCUCAGCAGAGACCAGACCUGCGCCUCGUCUCCCAGGCCUGCGCCUGGUGUGUGUUUUGUCAACAUUUCAGUGGAACAAGA